GAUGAACGCUGGCGGCGUGCCUAAUACAUGCAAGUCGAGCGAAUGGAUUAAGAGCUUGCUCUUAUGAAGUUAGCGGCGGACGGGUGAGUAACACGUGGGUAACCUGCCCAUGAGACUGGGAUAACUCCGGGAAACCGGGGCUAAUACCGGAUAACAUUUUGAACCGCAUGGUUCGAAAUUGAAAGGCGGCUUCGGCUGUCACUUAUGGAUGGACCCGCGUCGCAUUAGCUAGUUGGUGAGGUAACGGCUCACCAAGGCAACGAUGCGUAGCCGACCGGGGAGGGUGCGCGGCCACACUGGGACUGGGACACGGCCCAGACUCCUACGGGAGGCAGCAGUAGGGAAUCUUACGCAAUGGACGAAAGUCUGACGGAGCAACGCCGCGUGAGUGAUGAAGGCUUUCGGGUCGUAAAACUCUGUUGUUAGGGAAGAACAAGUGCUAGUUGAAUAAGCUGGCACCUUGACGGUACCUAACCAGAAAGCCACGGCUAACUACGUGCCAGCCGCCGCAGUAA
rnacentral:rRNA from 1 species